rnacentral:rRNA from 1 species
UACGAAGGGUGCAAGCGUUACUCGGAAUUACUGGGCGUAAAGCGCGCGUAGGCGGCUUUGUAAGUUAGAGGUGAAAGCCCGGAGCUCAACUUCGGAAUUGCCUUUAAGACUGCAUCGCUUGAAUCAUGGAGAGGUCAGUGGAAUUCCGAGUGUAGAGGUGAAAUUCGUAGAUAUUCGGAAGAACACCAGUGGCGAAGGCGACUGACUGGACAUGUAUUGACGCUGAGGUGCGAAAGCGUGGGGAGCAAACAGG